GUUUACUGUUGUUGUGCCAGCUCCACACGAGCUGACUCCGCGCUUUUUGCCACGGGUAAACUUUGUUUUCGGAGGGAUUUAGAUUUCAUAGGGUGGAAUGCUUCAAGUUUCAGAGGCUUUAUCAGUUAUGGUUCGUCUUAUUAUUGCUAUAUGAGGAUGUGCCUGUUUGUUUAUUCAUACGAGUAUGCCUUCAUUUAGUAUACACAAAGAUUUGCCACAGGUUUGUCUCUCACACAAUCGCACAGCCGUGCAGGAACGAAGGUCUUACGAGUUAAUUUGAUAAUCUCCCUCUUUGGGGUUGUGUCGCGCUCAAUGCGUGUUUUGGAACUGUGCCAG
rnacentral:lncRNA from 1 species